rnacentral:lncRNA from 1 species
CUGUUUCUCGCUAAUAAUUGUGGUAUUUAUAAAGCAUUGGCCAAGGGGAUAGAGCCCGAACCUGGGAUUCAGAAAGACCUGGGUUCUAAAUCCAGCUCCUCCACUUGACUUGACCGAGGCCGCACAACAAACAUUUCACUUCUCUGUGCCUCAUUUCCCCCAUCUGUAAAAUGGGAUUAAGACUGGGAGCCCUCUAAGGGGCAGGGACUGUGUCAAACCUGACUAGUUUGUAUCUACCCAGUGCUUAGACUAGUGCUCAAUAUAGGAAGCGUUUAACAAAUACCAUCACUAUUAUGUGCCAAACUCGAUACAAUGAACUAAAGUUUGGUACAAGAAAGGUAUCAUUCAUGUAUUAGUUGAGUGUUUACUAUGUGUCAAGCGUUAUUCCAAGCGCUGUGAUAGAUACAAUCAGGUCAGACAUAGUCCCUGUCCCACGUGGGACUCUUAGUCUACCUCAGUUCUGAAAGGACAAACCACAGCUACACGAAUUGGGAGCCAGAGAAGAGCAGAGUAAGACGGAAGAUUCAUCGAAAAGUUCUAUUUCCUCGGGGUCAUGCUCAUCUACACUUCUGUUAAGGGCAAGAGGAAGUCAAUUAGGGAGCCCUUCCCCAUGAGCCAUGGACAGGCAGAAGACCCUGGGAAAAGAAGGUAAAUCUGGUUUCAGUCCAGGGCCAAGGGAUGACCAGAGCAAGGCCAGCCCAAGGACCAGAAGAUUUGACGGGUCCAGGACGCCCUCUGAACCAGACCUUUGCACUGACCCUAAGAUGGACCUAGCUCUUGGAGCUGAUCUGGAAUCUGAGGCGCUUCCAGGACGAGAUGGAAAGUGAGCCAUUGACCUGCCUCUGUCACCAUAAUCUCAGAGAAGCACUGUGGCCUAGUGGAUAGACCAUGGGUCUGGGAGUCAGAAAGAC